CCGCGCCACGAGUGGGAGCCUCGUUUAUUGGGCCUAAAGCGUCCGUAGCUGGUUUAGUAAAUCUUCUGUGAAAUCGUUGGGCUUAACCUAACGGCGUGCAGGAGACACUGCUAGACUAGGGACCGGGAGGAGUCUGGAGUAUUCCGGGGGGAGCGGUAAAAUGCUAUAAUCCUCGGAAGACUACCUGUGGCGAAGGCGCCAGACCAGAACGGAUCCGACAGUGAGGGACGAAAGUCAGGGGAGCGAUCCGGAUUAGAUACCCGAGUAGUCC
rnacentral:rRNA from 1 species